rnacentral:misc_RNA from 1 species
GAUGAAGAACGCAGCGAAAUGCGAUACGUAGUGUGAAUUGCAGAAUUCAGUGAAUCAUCGAAUCAUUGAACGCACAUUGCACCUCUCGGUAUUCCGGGAGGUAUGCCUGUUCGAGCGUCAUUUGUACCCUCAAGCUCUGCUUGGUGUUGGGUGUUUGUUCCGCCUCUGUGUGUGAACUCGCCUCAAAACAAUUGGCAGCCGGCGUACUUGUUUCGGAGCGCAGCACAUUUUGCGAUCCAGAUCAACGUACAGCGGCAUCCAAGAAGCCUUAUUUAACGCUCUUGACCUCGGAUCAGGUAGGGAUACCCGCUGAACUUAAGCAUAUCAAUAAGCGGAGGA